AGCGAACGCUGGCGGCGUGCCUAACACAUGCAAGUCGAACGUGAAAGGGGGCAACCCCGAGUAAAGUGGCGUACGGGUGAGUAACACGUAGGUAAUCUACCCUAGAGUCUGGAAUAACCGGCCGAAAGGCUGGCUAAUACUGGAUAGAGCGACGGAAUCCGUAAUUGGGUUUUUCGGGAAAGGGAGGUCAUAAGACCCUUCGUUCUAGGAUGAGCCUGCGUCCCAUCAGCUAGUUGGCGAGGUAAUGGCUCACCAAGGCUUUGACGGGUAGCUGGUCUGAGAGGAUGAUCAGCCACACUGGAACUGAAACACGGUCCAGACUCCUACGGGAGGCAGCAGUGGGGAAUCUUGCGCAAUGGACGAAAGUCUGACGCAGCCACGCCGCGUGAGUGAAGAAGGCCUUCGGGUUGUAAAGCUCUGUCGGAAGGGACGAAAAUACUUAGGGUGAACAGCCCUAGGGACUGACGGUACCUUUAAAGGAAGCACCGGCUAACUCUGUGCCAGCAGCCGCUGUAA
rnacentral:rRNA from 1 species